CUUGUCCUUGUCUUUGGGGAGCAUAGUAUUCAAUGAUCGUCUAGUGAGGGUACUGAUGCUGAAACCAAUGCAAAUUAAAUUAUCCGCAUCCGUGUAUUGAUAUACACGUGUUGCAAUUUUUGGACGG